rnacentral:rRNA from 1 species
AUUGAACGCUGGCGGCAGGCCUAACACAUGCAAGUCGAGCGAGCGGCGGACGGGUGAGUAAUGUCUGGGAAACUGCCUGAUGGAGGGGAUAACUAAUGGGAAAGGGAGGCAAAAACGCAUAGCAACAGAAGUGGCCAGAUGGGAUUAGGUAGUAGGUGGGGUAACGGCUCACCUAGGCGACGAACCCUAGCUGGUCUGAGAGGAUGACCAGCCACACUGGAACUGAGCCACGGUCCAGACUCCUACGGGAGGCAGCAGUGGGGAAUAUUGCACAAUGGGCGCAAGCCUGAUGCAGCCAUGCCGCGUGUGUGAAGAAGGCCUUCGGGUUGUAAAGCACUUUCAGCGGGGAGGCGUUACCCGCAGAAGAAGCACCGGCUAACUCCGUGCCAGCAGCCGCGGUAAUUC